rnacentral:ncRNA from 2 species
CACUUAUCAAGAGCAGGCGGAGGGACAAGCCCUAUGAAGCCCGGCAACCGGUCAUUUUUAGAUGACACGGUGCUAAUUCUUGCAGCAUAUCGCUGAGAGAUAAGAG